AAUGGCGGAAAUCGCAGUAAACAACAAACAACUGUGAGGCCUCUGGGAUCAUAAGCGAGAACGUAACAAUUUGAUACAAUAUGGCAGAGUUUUAACGAUCUAUUGUCGUUGACAAAGUCAAUGAUUAGCUUCGUGUUAUUUUUCAUUCACAAAAUGCAUUGGUACAAUGCGCAUGCGCAGACGCCCAAACUUCACCUUCCUGGCAGCUUCAGGACAACAUGGCGGUUAAUCCCUGAUCUGAGAGGCGCCAUCAUAUUUAAUCCUAAUGCAUCAAAGUCCCACUGCAGACAGCUGAUCAAAAAGACAGCCAUCACAGCACACAGCAUGAAGCGGAGGAGACAGAGUUGGGGAAGCAUGCGCGGAUUUGAUUUCAGGGGGCCGUGCCCCCGCUCGCCCCGACAUGUUGCCGGCGCUGCUGUCAAGUGCAUGCCAAAGCAACAGGGGGCGCCAUAACCGUAAACACUAAACGAAAUGGAAGAAAAAACAUCUAACAGCAAUCAAGAUAUUUUUCUUUGGGCCUACAAAGACGACCACAGGGGCCAAAGCAUUUUUUUUUUCAUAUUAAUGCGAAGAAUAAAAUAAAGCAUUC